UACGGAGGGAGCAAGCGUUACUCGGAAUUAUUGGGCGUAAAGGGCGCGUAGGCGAUCUGAAAAGUUCUGUGUGAAAGCCCACAUGUUAACUGUGGAAGUGCACAGAAAACUGUUGGAUUUGAGUUCAGGAGAGGAAGGCAGAAUUCCCGGUGUAGCGGUGAAAUGCGUAGAGAUCGGGAGGAAUACCAGUGGCGAAGGCGGGUCUCUGGGCCGAUACUGACGCUGAGGAGCGAAAGCGUGGGGAGCGAACAGG
rnacentral:rRNA from 1 species